rnacentral:rRNA from 1 species
UACAGAGGGUGCAAGCGUUAAUCAGAUUUACUGGGCGUAAAGCGCGCGUAGGCGGCUAAUUAAGUCAAAUGUGAAAUCCCCGAGCUUAACUUGGGAAUUGCAUUCGAUACUGGUUAGCUAGAGUGUGGGAGAGGAUGGUAGAAUUCCAGGUGUAGCGGUGAAAUGCGUAGAGAUCUGGAGGAAUACCGAUGGCGAAGGCAGCCAUCUGGCCUAACACUGACGCUGAGGUGCGAAAGCAUGGGGAGCAAACA